AAAUUGAAGAGUUUGAUCAUGGCUCAGAUUGAACGCUGGCGGCAGGCCUAACACAUGCAAGUCGAACGGUAACAGGAAACAGCUUGCUGUUUCGCUGACGAGUGGCGGACGGGUGAGUAAUGUCUGGGAAACUGCCUGAUGGAGGGGGAUAACUACUGGAAACGGUAGCUAAUACCGCAUAACGUCGCAAGACCAAAGAGGGGGACCUUCGGGCCUCUUGCCAUCGGAUGUGCCCAGAUGGGAUUAGCUAGUAGGUGGGGUAACGGCUCACCUAGGCGACGAUCCCUAGCUGGUCUGAGAGGAUGACCAGCCACACUGGAACUGAGACACGGUCCAGACUCCUACGGGAGGCAGCAGUGGGGAAUAUUGCACAAUGGGCGCAAGCCUGAUGCAGCCAUGCCGCGUGUAUGAAGAAGGCCUUCGGGUUGUAAAGUACUUUCAGCGGGGAGGAAGGGAGUAAAGUUAAUAC
rnacentral:rRNA from 1 species